rnacentral:rRNA from 1 species
CACGUAGGGUGCGAGCGUUAUCCGGAUUUAUUGGGCGUAAAGAGCGUGUAGGCGGCCAGACAGGUCCGUUGUGAAAACUAGAGGCUUAACCUCUAGACGUCGAUGGAAACCGUCUGGCUAGAGUCCGGAAGAGGAGAAUGGAAUUCCUGGUGUAGCGGUGAAAUGCGCAGAUAUCAGGAAGAACACCCGUGGCUAAGGCGGUUCUCUAGUACGGUACUGACGCUGAGACGCGAAAGCGUGGGGAGCGAACAGG